UUAUAGCUUUUUACGUUUAUCGUGACGUCUAGCAGGUCUGUUUAUUGUGCCUCAACUGUUCGAGCUACGAGCUGAGCGAGUAGGACUACCCGUCUCUACUGCGUUACCUUUGUCACGGAGUGCACACGAAAAGCAGUAUAUUACAACGUUGUAUUACCUGGAGACGAUCGAGACGCUCUCGCGACGGUCCUCGAUCAGCGGGUCCUUCUUCCGGGUUUCGACCUUCGGCGAGGCGAAGCUAAACGCCUUCUUCACGGACUCGAGGACGCUCUGGCUGGUGGUCUGCGUCUGGUCGACGAUGGUCGUGCUUUUGUAAACGUCUUCGCCCAGGUCGCCUAAGGACCUGUACGAAGCGCCAGUACCUGCCGGCAUGGCGUAACCUUUCGUCGCCCUGUCUGGAUCCACGACGUCGUCUGCUCGUCUGUGGACGACCUAGUCGAUCGUCGAUCGUGCUGCUCGUGUCAGAUGACGGUGUCCACCGCCCAGGUGGAUGCCCUCUUGGCGAAGACUCGCCGCGAAGGCUCCCGGAGCUGAGGUGUUGCCGUUGCCGUUGAUGAUGAUAGGCGUGCCCGAAGCCGAUAUGCCAAUAUCGCACGUCAACAAGGCAAACGAACGGCAAAGGAACAAAAGAAAGAGAACACAAAGAUUAGCCCGCAAGAGCUGGGGUGCCUGUCUAAGCGACUGUCUCUCGUAAUCGAGCCGGGCUGAGUAGCAGAAGAAUGGAACAACGGACCGGAAGUGCUCUCGAGAGGGUUUAAGAGGCGCUACGUUUUAUGGAAUUCAGUCGGAGGCGAGCACGAGAGAGAGAAAGAGAGAUUAAAUGCGAGACGAAGGAAGACUGCGAUGAGAUCUCCGUGGAUGGAAUCGGUGCUCCGGAAUUGCGAAACGUACGCCGAGAAGAGAGAGAGAGGGGGAUUUAAAAUCGCGAACCUCUCUAUUAUCCCAGGGCUCUCCUUGACGACACCGCGGAGUAAACGAGGACGCCUUCCGCUACGUCCAUCCCGGCGACUGGAUAAUCCGCUUCGUGGAUUACCGUGGCGGGUCUGCCUUAUUUAUGUUCGGUUAAAAGGAUUCCAACACACGCUGCGAGCGUAACGUAGCAUCGCGCGAUAAUUCAAAGAGAUGACCACCGUACGUCAUCCUGCCACCAUUGGCAUUACCGAAAAAUUGUAACAGAUUUGCGUGGACAUUUUCAUGGCGAGCUCCUUAGAAAUAUGUCGCACAAUACGUUUCGCAAAAUUCUCUCGCUCGCUAUCGAUAAUAAUAAUUGUCGUCACUCUCGAAGACUGUUAUCGAUAUUAGCGCGAGAAUCGUAGGAGGAAUCGAGGCUAGGCUAGGCGAGAUAUCCAGACACGAUGCAUCUCCUUUGUAUUCGGAUUCCCCCGAUGCGCGACGCGAUGCACCUGGACGCGCCUCUACACACCUUGAACUAUCCCACCCGCUUCCACUCACAGCCUCCACUUUUGAGCGUCGCUGCUAACCUUCGGAAUCCUCUCCGCAGGGUGAUGUAUAUUUUCCCGAGUAUAUUCAUCAUAAAAAUGUAUAUUUAUGUAUACUUCCGCCACUCCUCCACCGCUUGGUUAUACAUACACAUAUUGUUACCGCACAUCACCCCCCGCGGGCGUCACCCUCACCGUCAGACUCGCCGUGUAUGUACGCAAAGGGUGCUUUAUAAUGCGGAACGUAGCGGACAUAUUUCCCCUGUAUACAUCCCCUUUGCUAGUAUGCGGUAUUCCUUCGCGACAGAAGGGACCCGGGUCCUUUGUAGAAAAAACUCGUCGGGGGCGGUAUUUAGUCUGUCAACCGCCGUGACGAAUCGCCGCAAAGAGGGCCGGCUUUGGAGUUACAUGAAAUAUCCGGUUAUGCUUCGCGAUAAAAUUUAGAUGCGGUUAGAGAACGAAAUGUGUUUCACAUCUUGCACUUAUAUUUCCCGAGCGAUGCGAGCACACUCGAGUCGAAAUUUUCAUUACCAUCCAUAUUAAAAGAUCUGAAAAGAGUUAGAAUCUCACUUUGUGGAAAGAACUCUUUUUUAGUAUUUUUAGGAAAAAACAGAUGUUCAAAAUUACUCAAUUGUCUUAAGAUUUUGACAGAUUAAGAAAGAAAGACUUGUAGUUUAAGAAGCAUUAUUAGACGCUGGAUUUUAAAUUUCAACUAGAGUAUUUUUUAUUCUCCGUAACUUUGUCAAACGUUCGUUAAAAUUAGAAAUCUCUUGCGUAAUAAAUGAUUUUACAUACAUAGAAACAUAUAAUGUAUCGUUGC